rnacentral:rRNA from 1 species
UACGGGGGGGGGCAAGCGUUGUUCGGAAUUACUGGGCGUAAAGGGCUGGUAGGCGGCCAACUAAGUCGGAUGUGAAAUCCCCAGGCUUAACCUGGGAACUGCAUCCGAUACUGGUCGGCUUGAAUCCGGGAGAGGGAUGCAGAAUUCCAGGUGUAGCGGUGAAAUGCGUAGAUAUCUGGAGGAAUACCGGUGGCGAAGGCGGCAUCCUGGACCGGCAUUGACGCUGAACAGCGAAAGCUAGGGGAGCAAACAGG